GUCCCGCUGUGAAUUGACUGUGGAAAAUACACUCCAGUGUGCAGCCGGCCGCUCCCCGUGUCCCUGAUUUAUCCGAAUAGGAUGUGGCUGAUGGGCGUACAUAAAGCGCUGUGAAUGGGCCAGAGGCGGGUCUGGGAAGAGGAGGGUGCUGCAACUUAUGAAGAUGUGGUUGAGGUCCGGAUUGCAGGGGCAGCAGUCUUAGUAAGGAAGUCCAGACUUCCUGGUCUUCAGCCACCUCUUCCAGUUUUACCGGGGGGACAUUCAGGCGUUCCCAGGCCAGCGGUGAGACAUAAUCCCUCCAGCGUGUCCUAGGUCUGCCCCAGGGUCUCCUCCUGCCUGGCUUUAUGCCCUUCACGUUAUGUCUUAGGGUAAGUCCAGCCACCCUACGGAGGAAACUCAUUUUGGCCACUUGUAACCGCGAUCUCAUUCUUUCAGUCACGACUCAAAGCUUAUGACCCCAGGUGAGGUAGGAACAUAGAUUGAUCGGUAAAUUGAGAGCUCUCAAAAAAAAACAAAAAAUUAUGAACAGAAUCGGUGACAAAGGGCAGCCUUGGUGGAGGCCAUCGUUUACCUGGAACAGGCUCCACUUACUGCUGGCAAAGCCAAGCAGGCUCCUGCUCAGGUUGACCGAAAAGACGGAAAAACCGAA